GUCUGCGUACCAUUAGCUAGUAGGUGGGGUAAUGGCCUACCUAGGCGACGAUGGUUAGCGGGUCUGAGAGGAUGAUCCGCCACACUGGUACUGGAACACGGACCAGACUCCUACGGGAGGCAGCAGUGAGGAAUAUUGCGCAAUGGGGGCAACCCUGACGCAGCGACGCCGCGUGAGUGAGGAAGGCCUUCGGGUCGUAAAGCUCUGUCAAAGGGGAAGAAGUGCAUGGUGGUUAAUAUCUGUCAUGUUUGACGGUACCCUUAAAGGAAGCACCGGCUAACUCCGUGCCAGCAGCCGCGGUAAUACGGAGGGUGCAAGCGUUGUUCGGAAUCACUGGGCGUAAAGGGCGCGCAGGCGGUUUGAAUAGUCAGAUGUGAAAGCCCACGGCUUAACCGUGGAAGUGCAUUUGAAACUGUCAGACUUGAGUACCAGAGGGGAAAGUGGAAUUCCCGGUGUAGAGGUGAAAUUCGUAGAUAUCGGGAGGAAUACCGGUGGCGAAGGCGACUUUCUGGCUGGAUACUGACGCUGAGGCGCGAAAGCGUGGGGAGCAAACAGGAUUAGAUACCCUGGUAGUCCACGCUGUAAACGAUGUGCACUAGAUGUAGGGGGUGUUGAUCCCCUCUGUGUCGCAGCUAACGCAUUAAGUGCACCGCCUGGGGAGUACGGUCGCAAGAUUAAAACUCAAAGGAAUUGACGGGGGCCCGCACAAGCGGUGGAGUAUGUGGUUUAAUUCGAUGCAACGCGAAGAACCUUACCUGGUCUUGACAUCCCGGAGACCCUUAGAACUAGGGGUGCUUCCAUUAG
rnacentral:rRNA from 1 species